rnacentral:rRNA from 1 species
UACGUAGGGUGCGAGCGUUGUCCGGAAUUAUUGGGCGUAAAGGGCUCGUAGGCGGUCUGUUGCGUCAGGAGUGAAAACUCGGGGCUUAACCCCGAGCCUGCUUCUGAUACGAGCAGACUAGAGGUAUGCAGGGGAGAACGGAAUUCCUGGUGUAGCGGUGAAAUGCGCAGAUAUCAGGAAGAACACCCGUGGCGAAGGCGGCUCUCUGGAACGCAACUGACGCUGAGACGCGAAAGCGUGGGGAGCAAACAGG